rnacentral:rRNA from 1 species
GAGAAGCAAGAUAGUGAUAUCAAGCAAAACUGAAAAAAGACGGUCUCAGUUCGGAUUGAAGGCUGAAAUUGCCUUCAUGAAGUCGGAAUUGCUAGUAAUGGCAGGUCAGCAUACUGCCGUGAAUACGUUCCCGGGCCUUGUACACACCGCCCGUCACACCAUGGGAGUCGGUAACACCCGAAGUCGGUAGCCUAACCGUAAGGAGGGCGCCGCCGAAGGUGGGAUUGAUGACUGGGGUGAAGUCGUAACAAGGUAUC